CAACUACAUAUAAACAAAGAAAGUGGACAAUAGAUUAACAAAAUUCAUGACGAUAAGCCUCUUGUUUUGUAGCCCAUCCGCUCUCCGCUGCAAUCUCCAUCCUCUACGCCGCCACGUGUGCGCCCCCGUCCCCACUGGCCUCACUCUCUCCUCCUCCGCUUCGCUCAUUCCGAAGCUUGCUCCUCCCCUCCUCCGUGUCCACCUUCUCCAUCCUGCGCCGUGCGCUCCCCUGCGCCCUCCCUCUUCUUCUCCCUGCACCCCACGAGCCGCAGCUGGAGAUUUCAUGAGAGAUUCCGGAGCCACCGCUGCUGUCCUCGCCGGCGCUUACGCCCUCGUCUUCUGCUUUGAUAACCUCACUCGGAGAAACCUCAUCCAACAGAGUUUAAGCAGAAAGAUGGUCCAUGUAUUGUCUGGUCUGCUUUUCAUGGUUUCUUGGCCGAUUUUCAGGAUAGCACCUCAACUGAGGCUCGCUACUUUGCUUCUUUUGUUCCUCUCGUGAAUUGCUUGAGGCUUGUCGUCCAUGGCUUCUCAUUGGCUUCUGAUGAAAAGCUCAUAAAAUCAGUUACUCGAGAAGGAAAGCCAGAGGAGUUGCUUCGAGGUCCUUUGUACUAUGUCCUGGUAUUGAUCGUAUGUGUUCUUGUCUUUUGGCGUGAGUCUCCAGUUGGACUGAUCUCACUUGCAAUGAUGUGCGGUGGUGAUGGUGUUGCUGAUAUCAUAGGCAGAAGAUUUGGGUCGAUGAAGCUUCCUUAUAAUCAACAGAAGAGUUGGGCGGGUAGCAUAUCCAUGUUUGGUUGUGGGUUCCUGAUUUCCAUCGGGAUGCUGUAUUACUAUUCAGUUCUGGGAUAUUUCCAAUUGGAUUGGGGAACAACAGUGCAAAAAGUCGCUCUAGUAUCCUUGGUUGCAACAGUGGUGGAGUCCCUUUCAACCACAGAUGUAGUAGAUGACAACAUAUCAGUUCCUUUAGCAAGCAUGGCAGUGGCAUUUUUGAGUUUUGGUUAUUGAAAUCCUCAAAAGUGAGGGAAUGAUGCAUCUUUCAAUAUCGCUGAAAUCCCAGAAAAUUAAUUACCAUCGCAAUCAUUUUCUUUCAAAGUGUUUGAAAUUAAUAUUGAUCCAUACUCAUGAUGAUAUUCUGCUUUCUUGGUGGAAAAAAGGAAACAUAAAUAAAAGAAAAAUAUGGAGACCCGAAGUAUCGACUCGUCCCUUUUGUGUGAGAUGCAAAUACUCUUACUAUCAGAGUCAUUAUGCCAUAUUUCUCUCAGCAUUAUCUGUAACAAACUUAGUUGUGAUGAGAUAAAUAUAUUCUUUUGUAUUUCCGUUAUUAUGCCU